CCUACGGGGUGCAGCAGUGAGGAAUAUUGGUCAAUGGACGAGAGUCUGAACCAGCCAAGUAGCGUGAAGGAUGACUGCCCUAUGGGUUGUAAACUUCUUUUAUAUGGGAAUAAAACGUUCCACGUGUGGGAUUUUGUAUGUACCAUAUGAAUAAGGAUCGGCUAACUCCGUGCCAGCAGCCGCGGUAAUACGGAGGAUCCGAGCGUUAUCCGGAUUUAUUGGGUUUAAAGGGAGCGUAGGUGGAUUGUUAAGUCAGUUGUGAAAGUUUGCGGCUCAACCGUAAAAUUGCAGUUGAAACUGGCAGUCUUGAGUACAGUAGAGGUGGGCGGAAUUCGUGGUGUAGCGGUGAAAUGCUUAGAUAUCACGAAUAACUCCGAUUGCGAAGGCAGUUCACUGGACUGCAACUGACACUGAGGCUCGAAAGUGUGGGUAUCAAACAGGAUUAGAUACCCUAGUAGUC
rnacentral:rRNA from 1 species